rnacentral:rRNA from 1 species
UCGGGAAUUUUGGGCAAUGGGCGAAAGCCUGACCCAGCAACGCCGCGUGAGGGAUGAAGUAUUUCGGUAUGUAAACCUCGAAAGAAUGGGAAGAAUAAAUGACGGUACCAUUUAUAAGCUCCGGCUAACUACGUGCCAGCAUCCGCGGUAUUACGUAGGGAGCAAGCGUUGUUCGGAUUUACUUGUCGGAAAGGGCGCGUAGGCGGCGCGGUAAGUCACUUGUGAAAUCUCUGAGCUUAACUUAGAACGGCCAAGUGAUACUGCUGGGCUAGAGUGCGGAAGAGGCAACCGGAAUUCUUGGUGUAGCGGCGAAAUGCGUAGAUAUCAAGAGGAACACCUGAGGCGAAGGCGAGUUGCUGGGCCGACACUGACGCUGAUGCGCGAAAGCCAGGGGAGCAAACG